AUGAAGUGUGACAUGCCCGUUUGGGAAUCACUCUGAUGCAUGUUUUAUUAAUUAAUUGAUUUUUUGGAAAACGGGGUGUUACAAUAUG
rnacentral:pre_miRNA from 1 species